rnacentral:rRNA from 1 species
CGUGAGAUGUUGGGUUAAGUCCCGCAACGAGCGCAACCCCUGUUUCUAGUUGCCAGCACGUAAAGGUGGGAACUCUAGAGAGACUGCCGGUGAUAAAUCGGAGGAAGGUGGGGACGACGUCAAAUCAUCAUGCCCUUUAUGUCCUGGGCUACACACGUACUACAAUGGCUACAACAAAGAGAAGCGAAGCAGUGAUGUGGUGCAAAACUCAAAAAAGUAGUCUCAGUUCGGAUUGAAGGCUGAAAUUCGCCUUCAUGAAGCCGGAAUUGCUAGUAAUGGCAGGUCAGCAUACUGCCGUGAAUACGUUCCCGGGCCUUGUACACACCGCCCGUCACACCAUGAGAGUUGGGAAUACCCGAAGCCUGUGAGCUAACUUUUAGAGGCAGCAGUCGAAGGUAGAAUCAAUGAUUGGGGUGAAGUCGUAACAAGGUAGCCGUAUCGGAAGGUGCGGCUGGAUCACCUC